AUUGAACGCUGGCGGCAUGCUUUACACAUGCAAGUCGAACGGUAACAGGGAGUUUGCUCCGCUGACGAGUGGCGAACGGGUGAGUAAUAUAUCGAAACGUACCCAAGAGUGGGGGAUAACGUAGCGAAAGUUACGCUAAUACCGCAUACGAUCCAAGGAUGAAAGCAGGGGACCGCAAGGUCUUGUGCUCCUGGAGCCGCCGAUAUCUGAUUAGCUAGUUGGUAGGGUAAAGGCCUACCAAGGCAUCGAUCAGUAGCUGGUCUGAGAGGACGACCAGCCACACUGGAACUGAGACACGGUCUAGACUCCUACGGGAGGCAGCAGUGGGGAAUUUUGGACAAUGGGCGCAAGCCUGAUCCAGCAAUGCCGCGUGAGUGAAGAAGGCCUUCGGGUUGUAAAGCUCUUUUGUCAGGGAAGAAACGGGUGAGGCUAAUAUCCUCAUCUAAUGACGGUACCUGAAGAAUAAGCACCGGCUAACUACGUGCCAGCCGCCGCCGUAA
rnacentral:rRNA from 1 species